rnacentral:piRNA from 1 species
UCGGAGAAAAUGUUUCUGUUGGAGCUAGC